rnacentral:pre_miRNA from 1 species
AAAAAGGCAAACCCUGGGUUUUCGUGUCCAACUUUGACUGUCCAUCUUAUAUGAAAUUUUUUUAUAAUUCAUAUUUUCAUUGUUGUUAGAUGAUAAAACAUGAUUAAUAUUUUAUGCGUGACUUGUCUUUUUAAUUUUUUUUAUAAUUUUUUCAAAUAAGACGAAUGGUCAAACGUUGGACACGGAAACUAGGGUUUGUCUUUUU